rfam:Stegodyphus mimosarum contig126062, whole genome shotgun sequence.
GCCUUCGUGGUGUAGUGGUCAACACGCUCAACGCGUAUUUAAGAGGUCCGUGGUUCGAGUCCCGGCGAGGGCA